rnacentral:lncRNA from 1 species
AUGAGCGAAAAUCUGUGUGAAAAAAUAAAUAAUAAUAUGGAGAAUAUACGAAAUAAUGUUAUAAAGGCGUUCGAAAAUUUAAGACAAAUCGAUAAUAUAUAUGUAAAUAAUGUUCGUACAGAAAUACAAAAAAAAGUUAAUUCUUUAUUAUAUAAAUGUUUACCAUUGUCUGAAGAUAAAAAAAUAAUAAAUGAAAGAAGAUUUAUAGUUAUAAUUGAGAAAGAUAAAAAUAAAUAUGAUAAUUUUCGUUGUCCUAUAUGUAUGUUAAUACUAUUCCAACCUGUUCAAACCCAAUGUAAACAUAUUUAUUGUAAAGAAUGUAUUGAAGCGACAUUAAAAAAAUAUAACCAUUGUCCAUUAUGUAGAGAAGUUACUUCAAAUCAAACAUUAACAGAUUUGCCAAUCAGUUAUUUUGGGAGGGAAUAUACUAAUAUUAAAAUACGUUGUUAUAAAUGUAAACAAAUUACGACAAUAGAAAAAUAUGAACAACAUUUAAAAAAUCACAUAAAUUAUUAUGAUACAUAUGAUAAAACUAAUUUGUUUUAUAAAAAUAAUUUUUCUACUAAUUCUAUUUUUUGUUUUGGUAAUAAAAAUUAUAAAAAUAAUUACAGUAAUUAUAAUUCCUAUUUAGAACGAACAGUUAAAAAUUUAAAAAAUAUAAAAACACUUUUUAAUAAAAAAAUUAGAAUAAAUGAAAUGAAUACUUUUUUAUUAUAUAUAGAAAAUAUAAGUAUAAUUACAGACAUAUAUAGUAUACAACUAGUAUAUGGACGAAAGGUUUUCAACGAAGCAAUUUAUUUGGAGAAAUCUCAUAUUACAGCUGACUUUGAAAAAAACAGAACAAAUGACUUUUUUUUAAUUAUAAAAUUGAAAAAAAAACAAAAAAAAAAACAAAAAACAGAUGCGAGUGCUGUAUCAACAACUGCCGUACCAACAACUGGUGUAAGACCCAAUUCGAUAGAAAUACAAAAAAAAAAAGGAAUGGAACAUUUUGAGAAAUAUAAUAAAAAGAUAAACACAUUUGAAACUUAUGAAUCUUAUAAAACAUAUAUACAUAAAAAAAUUAAUAAAAAAAAAAAUAAAACACAUGAGUAUUUAUAUAUUAUAUUUGAAUAUAAUAUAAAUUCCUUAUUUUUUACUAUUAUGGAGUAUAUUCCUUUUUUUAAAGAUAUACAUAUAACCAACAUAAUAACAUAUAAAAUAAACAAAUGGAAAGAAAAUGUUAGAAGCGAUGAAAUCGAUCUUAACAAUAUUACUCCUAAUGACUAUAAUAGCACUAACAGUAAUAUUGCUAAAAUUAAUUUAGUUGAUAUAUUUAUAACGUUGAAUAAAAUGACAGAAAUGCAUAAAAAUAAGAGUAGUACCUUUUCGUAUAAUUCGGUAAAUAUAUUUCAGGAGUUUGUAGAUUUGUAUGUACAGAAAAGAAAUUAA